GACGAACGCUGGCGGCGUGCUUAACACAUGCAAGUCGAACGGAAAGGCCUUUUCGGAGGUACUCGAGUGGCGAACGGGUGAGUAACACGUGGGUGAUCUGCCCUGCACUCUGGGAUAAGCCUGGGAAACUGGGUCUAAUACCGGAUAGGACCGCACUUUAGUGUGUGUGGUGGAAAGUUUUUUCGGUGUAGGAUGAGCCCGCGGCCUAUCAGCUUGUUGGUGGGGUAAUGGCCUACCAAGGCGGCGACGGGUAGCCGGACUGAGAGGUUGGUCGGCCACAUUGGGACUGAGAUACGGCCCAGACUCCUACGGGAGGCAGCAGUGGGGAAUAUUGCACAAUCGGCGCAAGCCUGAUGCAGCGACGCCGCGUGGGGGAUGACGGCCUUCGGGUUGUAAACUCCUUUCGCCAGGGACGAAGCGUUUUGUGACGGUACCUGGAGAAGAAGCACCGGCUAACUACGUG
rnacentral:rRNA from 1 species